rnacentral:lncRNA from 1 species
GGAUGAAAUCCUGUCAUUUACAGCAAUACUGGUGGAAGGAACAUGAUGCUAAAUGCAUUAUGCAAGGCACAGAAAUACACCUCUGUGCUCUUUUUGCAUGUGAAUACUAGAAAAGUUGGUCUCAUGAAGUUGAAAGUAGAAUGGUGCUCACCAGAGUCUAAGACAGGGAGGAGAGAGGGAAAACUCAGCCAAUGAAGACUAAGUUUGCUGAGAUGAGAAGAGUAAGAUCUGGUGUAUCGGCACACGGGCACGCUAAUAAUAGUGUGUAGAACACUGCAGACCAGCUAGAAGGGGGAUAGACAGGCAACUAGCAAAGCUCAUGGACUUGAUCCUCAAAUGUAUUCAUGCACCAAAACAUCACAUUUACCCCUUAUGUGCAUCGAAUUAUUAUAAAAAUAAUGAAAUAAAAAUAAUAGAAGCAAGCCACUCUCAUUGCCACCACCACAGCUAGCAGGUUCAUCAUUAUCACCAUGACCCCAUCAAUACUGGAACUCCACCUCCACCUUCUUCACCACCUCCACCAUGACCUUCCUGUGGGCAGUGCCUCUUCCAGGUAACACAAAAAGCCCACUGAGUUACACACUGGAAAAUGGUAAAUGAAAAACUGAAAUGAACCAGGAGCUGGGAGAUGGCUCAGUCAGUAGAGUGCCUGCUACACAAGCUCAAGGACUUGCGUUUGACCCCAGAAGCCAUGUAAAAGAGCCAGGUGUGGUGGCACACACCUGUCAUCCCAGCGCUGGAGAAGCAGAUGGAAGAUUCCUGGACUCAAUGAAAAGUCAUCCUAGCCUAAUUGGUGAGCUCCAGGCCAAUGAGAGACCCUGUCUCACAAAACAAAGUGGAUGACACCUGGAACAACUCCUGAGAUCGACCUGCCUCAUACUGUUAGACCCCCCGGAAAACUCAGGUAUCCGGGGUCCCAGGCCACGACCUCGGUCACCCCAAUCACCAGGCGGAUUCGAGAGCUUGCUGCAAACUGCAGGAGGCUUUAUUGUAAUUUAACGAGCUAACCCCAUGUUAGCUAGGGUCUUUCACCCACCCGCCAUGGCUGAUGGCUACAAAAG